rnacentral:lncRNA from 1 species
GAGAAGAAUAUGGGGGUCUGGGGGGCAUAUAGGGGUACUGAAGGGUAUUCCGGAAGAUUCCUGGGGAGGCUGAGGAUAAUGGGCGGGUUCCCAGAGGUCAAAUGGGUCGUUCUGGGGGGGGCUGGAAAUAUUAAGAGGGUCUGGGAGAGCCUACAGGUUCCUGGAUGCUCCCCUUUCAUCCCACCCUUUGCUCAAAAUCCUUGAUUUUCCCCCCAUUUUGCAGCCAGGCUCUGCCACGGUGGCAAGGAGUCCCUGGGGACACUGGGGACCCCCCCCCCCCCACGUGUUUCCUGAAUGUGCCUCCCCCCCCCCAAAUGUCCUCCCCAAAAUUCACAUACACACUCGCGGAUGUAGCAAAGGACAAGCAGAACAGGGGGAUCCUUGAUUUAUUGGGGACCCCCCCCCCCUUACAAUAGAGGCUUCAACGCCCCAGGGCAGCUUGGGGGAACUGCCUCUCAAGCUCUGCUUUACAGGGGAAAAAAUAGCACUUUUGGGGUCCUUUGGGAUGAGAACAGGCUCUUUGGGGUGAGAAGAGCCAUUCUGAGGUCUUUUCAGAGGGAAACGUGGCAGUUUGUGGUGAGAAAAACUGGUUUCGGGUCCUUUUGGAGGGGAAGUCAGUCUGGGGCAAGAAAAGCCUUUUUGGGGUCUGUUAGGUACACAAGUUGGUGGUCUGGGGUGAGAAAAGCCCCUUUCAGAACAUUUUAGAGGGGCACGUGGCAUUUUGGGGUGAGAAAAGUUGUGUCAGAGUCCUUUUGGAGAAGAACAUGGCAGUUUAGGGUGAGAAGAGCAACAGUUGUGUCUUUUAAGAGGAACCUGGUGGUUUAGGAUGAGGAAAGCCAUUUUUAGAUCCUUCAGAAGGGGAACAGGCUUUUGGGGAUGAGAAAAGCCAGUUUUCAGUUCUUUUUGAGGAGACCCUGGCCAUCUGGGGUAAGAAAAGACAUUUUUUGGUCCUCUAGCACAGCAACAGGUGCUUUGGAACGAGAAAAGGUCAUUUCAGAGGGGAAUCUGGCAUUUGGGGCUGAGAAAAGCCAUGCGUGGGUCCUUUGGAAGGGGAGCACAGAAUUUUGGCUUGAUAAAAAUCUUGAUGGGCCUGAUGGGAGGGGAACCAGCAGGCUGGGAUCAGAUAAACCUUUUUGGGGUCUGGUUGGAGAGGAACAGUUGGUUUGGGGUGAGAACGGCCCUACUGUGGGCCUCCCUACAGGCAGCUGUCCUCCACCCUAUAGCCAGUUCUCCUCCACCCUAUGGCCAGGUGUUGUCCUCCACCCUAUGGAUGGUUCUUCUCGACCCUAUGAAUGGUUCUUCUUGACCCUAUGGAUGGUUCUCCACCCUAUAGCCGGUUGUUGGCCUCCACCCUAUGGAUGGUUCUUCUUGACCCUAUGGAUGGUUCUCCACCCUAUGGAUGAUUCUCCACCCUAUGGAUGGUUCUCCACCCUAUGACCAACUCUUGACCCCCCCCACCACCACCAAUUGGCGUCCUCCACCCUCCACCUGGUUCUCCCCCACCCUAUAUCCAGUUGUCCCCCGCACCUAUGCCUGCUCCUCUUUCUCCCCACGCCUCCCCACCCCCAAGCCUUCCUCCUCCUCCCCCU